CUUUUCUUGACAGACAAAGCUGUCCUGAGGCCUUCAGGGGAGAUCAUUUCAGCGCAACGAUUUCUUUUUACAUAUGUCUAUUGACUUUCCCACACAUUCCGUUAGGAUUUUCCGAUAUAAAGCUCACGGAAGACUGCAGCAGUGGUCAGACAUCACUGAGAGUCUCAGGAUUUUCACCCAGACUUCCAUUCUGCUUGACCAUCCUGUCAUGCAAUGAGGACCUCUUGCUGUAGAAGUAAAAGGAGAGAGGCUAGGAGAAGAGGUGCUUCUCUCCUGAUGCCCCCUGUGGGCAGUGAUCAUAGUGGAUCCGGCUGCCUCCUACUGUGAUAGGCCCUCUGCCUUAGUGGAGGGAAGAGAAUAUUGUUUGUUUGUUUGUUUGUUUGUUUGUUUGUUUGUUUCUCAAGACAAGGUUUCUCUAUGUAGCCCUGGCUGCCCUGGAACUUGAUCUGUAGACCAGGCUGGCCCGGAACUCAGAGAUCCACCUGCCUCUGCCUCCCAAGUGUUGUGAUUAAAGGGGUGUGCCACCAUACCCAGCUGGG
rnacentral:lncRNA from 1 species